rnacentral:rRNA from 1 species
CGUUCCCGGGCCUUGUACACACCGCCCGUCACACCACGAAAAGUCGGCAACACCCGAAGCCGGUGGCCCAACCCGCAAGGGAGGGAGCCGUCGAAGGUGGGGUCGAUGAUUGGGGUG